UGCAUAUAUAAAGGCGCCAGAGCGCAAACUCCGCGUAACUGAACUCCAGGCGUCAGCGUGGCUUUCUCGGUGCACUCUGGCUUAACGACACAAGAAUGCAGGCCCGUUACGUGAUCUUCGCCGCCCUGCUGGCUGUUCUGCUUGUCAGCUUAGCCGAAGCACAGGGUGGUUCUCGGGGUCGGCGCUGCGGUCGAGGCGAGGUCUUCAACCCAAUGCGGCACUGCGUGUCCGCGCGUCUGCGGCCGACCACCGCCCCAAGCGUGCACCCUGCAAUGCGUGGCGGGGUGCUUCUGCCGACGUGGUUACAUCCGCACUCCAAGAGGAGGCUGCAUCCCAGAGAGCCAGUGCCGCCAAAGAGGAUGAACAAUUGUUGCAGAAGGAACGCCACCAUAUUAGUCAGUUGCUGAAUACCACCUGCUGCCUCAGCGCCAAAAUACUUUUGCCUAUAUUUUGUUUCAAAUAAAGCCAUCGAUGCGUUCA
rnacentral:lncRNA from 1 species